UCCUACGGGGGGCAGCAGUGAGGAAUAUUGGUCAAUGGGCGAGAGCCUGAACCAGCCAAGUCGCGUGAAGGAUGACGGCCCUACGGGUUGUAAACUUCUUUUGUCAGGGAGCAAUUGGGUCCACGUGUGGGCUUAGCGAGAGUACCUGAAGAAAAAGCAUCGGCUAACUCCGUGCCAGCAGCCGCGGUAAUACGUAGGUGGCAAGCGUUAUCCGGAUUUACUGGGUGUAAAGGGCGUGUAGGCGGGACUGCAAGUCAGAUGUGAAAAUUAUGGGCUCAACCCAUAACCUGCAUUUGAAAAUGUAG
rnacentral:rRNA from 1 species